AGGAACAUAACACAUAACUCCGAUAAAUUAGAGGCUUUCUCCAUUGGAGCGAACUUUUGGUCUGCUGGAGAGUGCACAAAUUUGAGAAAUUUCACAUAAAAAUUAGAGGAAACUCCGCUGGAGCAAACUUUUGGUCUACUAGAACGUGCACAAAAUCGAAAAUAUUCACAUAAAAUACCAAAAAGUUCAUUGGAGCGUACAUCACCACUAACCAAUCAUGGAUAUAAUCAUCUUUCUUUUUGCCUGUUGCACAAGCUCUAUCAUCUUCUUCUCCAAGCAAAAAGUUUGCCUCCGCUUAGCUCAUUACCACGCCACUUACUUCCAAAUGAGGACGACAUUUCAGCUGAUGACUAGGGGAGUUCUCUUUUUUUACCUCUCCUACUUUUAUUUUAUAAUCAUCAAAGCUCGUAAAAUGAUCUACCAGGAUGACAAAACUCAUAAACUUACAACCACCAAAAUGAAAAAUAUCUACCAUAAUUAAAGAGUUAAUUGAGUUGAUAUCACACCAGUACAAGCCCAAUUUCGCCCGGGCCCAGGCAAACAAAAAAACAAAAAUUACCAGUCCAAUAUACUCAAUUAAAAUCCAAACAACAAAACCCAACAGACCCAAUACCCAAACCAAGCCCAAAACCUAAACUUUUUCAGAAAAACAAAAAAACCCUAGCCUGUGACAGCCACCCUACUGCUGCCGCCCUAGGUCAGCCACCACCAACUCCUCUGCAGCGCCACCUGCU
rnacentral:lncRNA from 1 species